AAACCUUUUCUCCAUUUCUCUCUGCUCAUACCACAAAUUUCUUCAAAUCUUCCAAUUCUCUAUGCUCGUUCCAUAAAAUGUGAGCCACAUUUUGGAGACCCAAAAACUCUAACUAGAAAUUGUGACUCCAUCAGGAAUCUGAGUUCUCUAAAGUUGAAGGAGGAAGGAAGAGAGUUCAAAGUCUGAAUAUUCACUGUAAGGGUAACCCGUUUAAAGGUUUUGAAGGUUUGAAGCUUGAAAUCACUUUGAGGGUAAGUUGUUCAUGUUUAUCGACUCUCAUCACUAAGUUUUGCUUUUCGUAUUUUGUCGAUUCUUGGUCUUGAUAGUAGUUUUUGUGUUAACCCAUAACUAAAAGUUUCUUUUUGAAAUUUUAGACCUUUUGAUGUUGCUGUUGUUAUUGUGAUUUCAUGUUCAUAUUACAUUGGGUAGCUUAAAUUGGGUGAUUUAUGCAGAGAAAGGGGGUUAAUUUAGGUUAAAUUUACUUGAUUUUGAAGUAUUGAGUACAUUUUUUCUUGAAAGAGAGAUGAGUAAAGCUAAUUCAGUGAUUUAUGCAGAGAAAAGAGCUUUAUUUAGGUUAAAUUUACAUGGGUUUUGAAGUAUUGAGUACGUUUUUUCUUGAAAGAGAGAUGAGUAAAGCUAAUUCAGUGAUUUAAAGGUGAAUCUUGAAGCAAAGAAUCAAACACCUGAUGUGAGUAUGUGAAUUCUUAAUUGUUGUUUAUUAAAAUUAUGAUUUUGGUUGAACUAAUACCACCUGAUGUGAGUCUUGUUAUGAAUAAUGAUUUUGCUUGAGUUUGGUUGUUAAGAAUUCUCUCUUUCCCUUUAUUUGGUCAUGCUAAAAACUUCAAGAUUCCAGCUUUGUUUCCUUCAGAAAAAAUGCAAAGUGAGUUAAACGUAGAAUCUUGGAUGAAAUUUGUUUUUUUUUUUUUUUUGCUUCACUUUUAGCUUGGAUUGUUUGUUGGUUGGAUGAUUGAUUGAGUUUGGUUAGUAAAGUUUAUGUCUUUUGUGAUUUCUGACCUUUUUGUGGCCAUUUCUGUUUUGUGAGGAAAGAUGGGAAUAGCAGUAUAUGACUUCUUGAUUUUUGUUGUUAUGAAUACUAAUUUUGCUUAGUUUGAUUGUUAAGAAUUAUAUCUUUCCCUUUAUUGUUCAUGCUCAAAACUUCAAGAUUCUAGUUAAGGUGAGUUAAAGGUUUUUUUUUUGCUCCAACUAUACCCCUCUCUCUUUCAAGAAAAAAUAUACUCAAUACUUCAAAAUCCAUGUAAAUUUAACCUAAAUUAAGCUCUUUUCUCUUCAUAAAUCACUGAAUUAGCUUUACCCGUCUCUCUUUCAAGAUGGUGUAAUUCUUCAUUACAUAUUUAAGGAUCAAAAUUGCUUAGUCCUUAGUUCUGAUUUUGGACAAGAAUUUUACAGGUGAUUCACUGUUUGAAUGGAUAAGUUAAUUCAAAUUUAUCUUUAAAUCUAGUUGAAUCUAAACCAAUAGAUAUAAAAACUAGGUAUGGAGGCAAAAUCACAAUAAACAUUCCAUAUGACAUUGAUAGAGCUGUGGGUCUUGGGGCUAGAGAUAUUGUUAAUUACUGUGGUUUGACCAUGAGAAGCAUUAUCUCGUUCCGAGAGGGGAAGUGGCAAAAGAUUGUUUUGAAAUACAGAGAAGCAGUGUGGUUGAGGGUCAAGAGAAAAUUUGAAGUUUGUGGUGGACUGCGAGAGCAUAAGUUGCAAGGCUUUGUGAUAAGUAGUAUGCAAAGGCUUUUUAGAGCAUGGAAAGCUCGAUUGCACACUGACUACCUCCGUUAUGCUACUGAUGAAGAGAUAUUGUCUCAUCAACCUGAGGAUUUUUAGUUUGGAGGACUGGAAAUACCUAGUAAGGUAUUUUGGAAGUGAAGAAUUCAAGAUUGUCAGUGAAAGAAACAAAAGAAAUAGGGAAAAGCAAAUAACUAAGCAUUCUUGUGGUACAAAGUCUUUUGCAGAAGUAGAGGAAUCUAUGCUCCAUCAACUUGAUGUUGAACAACAAUCUGAAGAGGUCGAGAAUCCCAUGACUAGAGAAUAGAUGUAUUCAUCCAUUCUUAGUGAGAGACCGGGCUAUGUGCGUGGUUUUGGAUAUGGAAAGAAGCCUCCCAGAAAGACUCAAAUGCAGCAAGCGAACAUAGAGCCCAGCGUAUCUUUUGCAAUGGAAGUUAUGCGGCAAGAGAUGCAAGCCGAUAUAGACCGAAAGUUGCAAGAAGAACUUAACCGGAAGUUGCAAGAAGAACAUGAACAAAUGGCUAUCGACUUAAAAAGGGAUAUGGAACAAGAUUCUCAAAACAAAUUGAAAGAGGAGCGUGCACACAUGAAAGGAGAAUUUGACAAGAUGCUCCAAGAACAAAUAGCUGCUUUCAUGCCUAGAAUGCAACAGGUACUUGCUCUUGCUCUUGCUCUUGCUAUUGAGGAGUAUUUUUAUUAAUCAACAACUUUGAUUUG